rnacentral:rRNA from 1 species
ACGGAAGGCAGCAGUGGGGGAUAUUGCACAAUGGGCGAAAGCCUGAUGCAGCAACGCCGCGUGAGGGAAGACGGUUUUCGGAUUGUAAACCUCUGUUUUUGGUGAAGAUAAUGACGGUAGCCAAAGAGGAAGCCACGGCUAACUACGUGCCAGCAGCCGCGGUAAUACGUAGGUGGCAAGCGUUGUCCGGAAUUACUGGGUGUAAAGGGAGCGCAGGCGGGACAGCAAGUUGGAUGUGAAAUACCGCAGCUUAACUGCGGAGCUGCAUCCAAAACUGUAGUUCUUGAGUGGAGUAGAGGCAGGCGGAAUUCCGAGUGUAGCGGUGAAAUGCGUAGAUAUUCGGAGGAACACCAGUGGCGAAGGCGGCCUGCUGGGCUCUAACUGACGCUGAGGCUCGAAAGUGUGGGGAGCAAACAGGAUUAGAUACCCUGGUA